AUGUCCUUACCUUGCUGGCAUUUCGUACCUGGGGCAAGCUCCAUUUCAGCCAAUUCCAGUCUUAGUUCUUCUCCGGAGGGGGGAAAGCGGAAGGAGUUGGCAACAGCAACGGACUUGAUUGAAUGUACCGUGUACCGACUGCUUCGCCUAACCCUUAUGUACCAACAUACGAGACCUCUAUUCGACAAGGAGUAUCGGGUUUUGCAAGUUCUGCGACUCCUACCGCCGCUGCCGUAG